rnacentral:lncRNA from 1 species
AAGAUACCCCAAUCAAGUACUGUCACUGAAGAAACACUCAAAACUGUCUAUCAAAUUUCAAAGAAAGUUUCUGUCUACUUUCUCCUUGUUUAUCUGAUUUUCUUUUAAAUAUACAUAAUAGGAAAUAAUGGCUAAAAUAUUCAGAUAAUAAUUCAUAUUUAACAUAUAAAAGGUGUUUUCUUAUUUAAAUUUUACUAUAAUGUAACAGGAUCAUAUAAGGAGAAAUGAAUUAUAAACUAUUGAUUUUUUAUAUGCAUAUUUCAACAUAGGAUUUUGUAGAUUAGAAAUUAUUGUGUUCUACCAGAUAUAAUUAAGUAUGUAUUAAAAACUAUUUUGCCAUUAAUAGUGACGGUGACUAUUUCAAACAUGCUUUCCAAUUAAGGAUAUGAGCAGAGAACAUCAUCAUAAUAGAGGGACUAAGUCCUUGAAAAAGAUCUAGUUAGGAGUAAUGAUCACAUCAGUAUUUCCUGAAGUGUAGUCCUCAGACCAGCAGCCUCAGUUUCACCUUUAAACUUGUCAGAAAUGCAAAUUCCUGGGCCUCAUUUCAGACUUACUGAAUCAGAAACUGUAGCUGAAGUCCAGCUUUCGUCUUUUAACAAGUCCUGAAGGUGAUUCUAAUGCAUAUUUAUUUUCAGUUUGAAAACUACUGAUCUGCAUAAAUGGAGGCAUCACUUAUGAAGGGAUUGUAUGACCAGUUGUUCCACAAGAAAGCAAGAAAAUUCUCCAGUGAGUCAUCUCUCCUUAAUGAUUCUGAGAAAAUUCUUCGCAAGGAAACAAUCAGCAAAAGCUGUUGAUGCACAGGAAUGUGGAACCCACCAGAGAGAAGAGAACCAAGAUGAAAGUCAGGUGUUACUCAAGGUCCUGGCGAUUACAAUUGCACACAAUUACGUUACACAGCCGAUUGGGAUCCAUGAACAAAGACUCAAAAGAAUAAGUGGAAAAGAAAAGUCCCUGCCUUUCCUUUGUCAGAGCCUCUGACUGCUUAGCAUUCGUGGUGACUGUUCAUCUGUUUCCUUCUUGUCAGCCUGCUGACAACCAGCACCAGUCAACACUUAUUCCUAUUUCCUUGUUUAUCUCCCUCCUCUGCUUUUCAUCCUAAAGCCUUCUUUGUCCCAAAUCAGAAUUUUAGAUUCUAAGAAAAUUACCUGUCACACUGUAGCAGAGAUGUUUUUAAAAACACAUAUUCCACAUUUCAAAGAUAGAUGAUAUUUGCUAAAUUCUCCUGAAACACCUUAUUGCUUUUUUUUUUAUCUUUGUUACUUUUGACUUUAAUAAGUCCUCCUCCCGCAUUCUGUAAAUGACAAAGAUAUGGUGAUGCAUAAAAUUAUUAAUAAAAUAUAAUUAGUGCCAUGAAAUGUAACUAUAUUUCCCUCUCUUUUCCUAUGUGGGGGGCACCUUUUUUCACUUUUCUCACUUUCCUUGUUUGUGAUUUUCUACACAUUUAUAUCUUCUAUCUCUGGGAUGUUAUCUUCCAUUUUCACUUAAUCUUGUAUCCUUAGUCCCCCCACCCUUUCAAACUUUUCUACUUGAAUAAGAACAGCUUCCCUAAGUCUCAAGCAUAAGAUCCAUUUUUAGUCAUUGUUCCAUUUACUUAUUUGCAUGUUCAUUUUUUAAAAAAAUUUCUCUACCUUCACUAUUCUCAUACCCUCUUUCACCUACAUCUUUUAGUCUCUUCCUGCUGGAGACUACCCUCUUUCUGCUGGGUCUAACUUAACUGCUAUAUUUUUGUUCUCACCUCCCUGAGAAAAAAAUUCUAUUAAUUUUUUUUUCUCUUACUUGCCUUCUUUUCACUCUUUUUCAAUAAGAUUGUCAAUGCUCUGAGC